GCAGCAGCCGCGGGAAUACGGAGGGUGCAAGCGUUAAUCGGAAUUACUGGGCGUAAAGCGCACGCAGGCGGUCUGACAAGUCAGAUGUGAAAUCCCCGGGCUUAACCUGGGAACUGCAUUUGAAACUGUCAGGCUGGAGUCUUGUAGAGGGGGGUGGAAUUCCAGGUGUAGCGGUGAAAUGCGUAGAGAUCUGGAGGAAUACCGGUGGCGAAGGCGGCCCCCUGGACAAAGACUGACGCUCAGGUGCGAAAGCGUGGGGAGCAAACAGGAUUAGAUACCCCUGUAGUCCCUGUCUCUUAUAC
rnacentral:rRNA from 1 species